AUGGAGACAGGUGGGCAGCUGCCGGCUUCUGGAGCUGUGCUAGUAGAGGUGGCGCUCGGCGCCUGGUGCGGGACUCCCGGUCCUGGGGGCGGGGUGGCGAGGGAGCGGGUUGGCGGGAGAGGGCAGCGCCGGAUUUUUGUGCUGGGGCUCCGGGCUGUGAGUACAGACCCUCAGUAUUUCGGCAGGGGCACCCGGCUGACCGUGCUAGGUAAGCGGGGGUGCCCGGGGGCGCCGGGGAGCGCGGUGGGGCCAGGGGAUGGCGGGCCUGUUUUUGUGCCGCCCCGGGGGGCUGUGAGCCAAAAUACCCAGUACUUCGGCGCGGGGACGCGGCUGUCGGUGUUGGAGAACCUGGAAAAGGUCAAACCUCCCACGGUCACAGUGUUUGAACCAUCAGAAGCAGAGAUCUCCCGCACCCAGAAGGCCACACUCGUGUGCCUGGCCACGGGCUUCUACCCCGACCACGUGGAGCUGAGCUGGUGGGUGAACGGCAAGGAGGUCCAGAAUGGGGUCAGCACAGACCCGCAGCCCUACAAGGAGCGGCCCAACGAGAAUGACUCCAGCUACUGUCUGAGCAGCCGGCUGAGGGUGUCCUCUGCCUUCUGGCACAACCCUCGCAACUACUUCCGCUGCCAAGUCCAGUUCCACGGGCUCGGGGACGAUGAUGAGUGGGACAACGCCAGCCGGGCCAAACCCAUCACCCAGAACGUCAGUGACGAGAUCCAGGGCAGAGCAGACUGUGGCUUCACUUCGGUGUCCUAUCAGCAGGGCAUCCUGUCUGCCACCAUCCUCUAUGAGAUCCUGCUGGGGAAGGCCACCUUGUAUGCCGUGCUGGUCAGCGCCCUGGUGCUGAUGGCCAAGGUCAAGAGAAAGGGUUCCUGAGACCAGCUCUGAAAGUGCAUCCUGAGUUGCUCAUCAUCCUCACCCCAGAUUCUCCUUGACGUGCUUCCAGUCUGCAUUUCUAAAAGUUAUUCUCUCUCCACCUCUUAUCUCUUUCCUGAUGGAAAUCUGUCCCUUCUCUAUGCUUCCCUGCAGACUGAGCUCCUCAACCCUUAAACUGAAAUAGACUAAAACAAUAAAAGUGUCUUGCCGGGC